UGUGUGUGUGUGUGUGUGUGUGUGUGAUGUGUGUGCAUGUGCAUAUUCCAAUAUACAUAAACACACACACACACACAUGUAUGCGUGUGUGUGUGUGCAUGAAUAUAUUCAUACCGAUAUAUUCAACAGGAAAUUAGAGAAAGAGAUAACAGUUCAAACAAACAAACAAUAACAUCCUUGAACAAGCCAAGCGGAAAACGGGAGCCUGAACAGAUGAGUGAAUCUUCAGAAGUUUCCGUUCUUGUACAGGAAAAAAAAAGAUGUGUCAGUGUAUGAAGGUCAAUCCGAAAUUACAGUGUUUGUGAGCUCAAGGACGCCAUAUUUGAAGUCGCCUUGUGUGUAUGUGCAUAUAUUUCUCUGGCGUUUAAAAGAAAGCUGUGGAUUUUUCGUAAACGCCACAUUGUAAAUAAAAGAAUGAAAUAGGAAAACAGAGGACGACGGUCAUACCAGCGUAUAACUAGUGCACAGAGACACUAAAAGUAAGGGAACGUAUGUGUGUCCUUUCUCGUGGCUGCGUCACUGAUACGUCAUGCUUACGUCAUAAUAUACCCAGCAUGAUGACGCCACAGAACUUGCCUUGAGAAUGAAGCGAACAGUGAACGAAAAUGUACCGAAAUCAAUCGAAAUCAGAUGAAUAACUGUAAAAUGUAUGUCUGUAGUCUUGUAAAGAUAGUUAGCAGAUGUUUAAAACGCCGGAAUACUCCAAAGAUAGAUGAAAUCAAGAAAAUGGAGGAAAAGAGAGAAAAAAAACAAACAAACAAAAAAGUGUCAGUUUAUCCUUCAGAAGUAACUGUGCGUGUUCAGGUGAUGUUCUACUGUUUUGUACUCUUCUG